rnacentral:misc_RNA from 1 species
CCAAAAGGCGGGAAACCGCUUUCAAACCGCUAGGUGACCCACCUGGGUCACCAAACCGGUCAACCCUUUGUGAACCAAAAAAAACCUUUCGCUUCGGCAGCUGGGCCCAAAUGGGCCCGUCAGCCUGCCGUUAGCACCAAACCUCAAAAAACCUGUUGUCCAAACAUUGUCUGAUAACCAAAAUUUUCGAAUGAAAAUCA